rnacentral:lncRNA from 1 species
UUGAGAAGGGGUUCUUGGGAUCAGGGCGGCCAGGCGGCCAGGCUGCAGGAGGAGUGUGACUAUGUGCAGAUGAUCGAGGUGCAGCACAAGCAGUGCCUGGAGGAGGCCCAGCUGGAGAAUGAGACAAUAGGCUGCAGCAAGAUGUGGGACAACCUCACCUGCUGGCCAGCCACCCCUCGGGGCCAGGUAGUUGUCUUGGCCUGUCCCCUCAUCUUCAAGCUCUUCUCCCCCAUUCAAGGUAAGACCCCUGGGUUGAAGAGGUGACGUGAGUGGGGCCAGCUGGAGUGGGGACUCACCUCUCAAGGAAGUGGAAAGGCAAAGGAAAGUGGUCAAAGAGGUUGGAGCAAUCCGAGGGACUCCCUG